rnacentral:rRNA from 1 species
UACGGAGGGUGCGAGCGUUGUCCGGAAUCAUUGGGCGUAAAGGGCGCGUAGGUGGCCCGGUCAGUCUUUGGUGAAAGCGCGGGGCUCAACCCUGCGUCGGCCAGGGAUACUGCCGCGGCUCGAGCACUGUAGAGGCAGGCGGAAUUCCGGGUGUAGCGGUGGAAUGCGUAGAGAUCCGGAAGAACACCGGUGGCGAAGGCGGCAUCCUGGACUACUACUGACGCUGAGUGAGCGAAAGCCAGGGGAGCAAACGGG